CUGACACGGUCCCCGGACAGGAUCGGCUUGCGACGCUGCAUCUUUCGUUAUCGGACGCGAGCGGGGACAGCGCCAUCAUCGAAUAUAUCGGCGGCAAGCAGGUCAUCCAUCAUGGCCGCGAAUAUCAGGUGAUGACCAAUUCACCGACAUUCGACCAACAGCUUGCGCUAAAUGCCUACUGGAAGGAGAUUGGUGGCACCGUGUUUCUGCCGGGGACGAACCGUGCCUCCGACCGCUUUGCCCGCGCCUCGUUCUACGUGAAUGCCAUCCCGAAGAGUGAAGACCCGGUUGUGGCACUGGCCAGUGUAUUCAGCGUGAUCCGCAAUACUUCGGUCCCGUUCGG
rnacentral:misc_RNA from 1 species